rnacentral:sRNA from 1 species
AAAGAAUAUUAGAAGAAAUUAAAGCAGAAAGAAAGCUGCGGCCUGUAUCGCCAGAGGAGAUUAGACGUAGCAGAUUAGAUGUGACUACCCCUGAAUCUACAAAGAAUCUUGUGGAGUCAUCUAUGGUGAAUGGAGGUUUGACAUCACAAACAAAAGAAAAUGGGUUAAGUACCGCACAGCAGGUGCCUGCACAGCGGAAGAAGCUCCUCAGAGCCCCAACUCUGGCCGAACUGGACAGCUCUGAGUCUGAGGAAGAAACGCUGCACAAGUCGACCAGCAGCAGCAGCGUGUCUCCCUCUUUCCCUGAAGAGCCAGUCCUGGAGGCCGUGUCCACAAGGAAGAAGCCUCCAAAAUUCCUGCCCAUAUCAUCAACACCCCAGCCAGAGAGACGGCAGCCACCCCAGAGACGACAUUCCAUUGAAAAGGAAACGCCUACUAACGUGAGGCAGUUCCUGCCGCCUUCCAGGCAGAGUUCCCGCUCUCUUGUUCCUAGGAUAACCAGUGUAUGGCCAAGGACGCCUUUUCGACCACUUUUUUCUACCAUACAAACAGCUUCUCUGCUCAGCUCUCAUCCUUUUGAAGCAGCCAUGUUUGGGGUAGCAGGGGCUAUGUAUUAUCUGUGUGAGAGAGCUUUUACCAGCAGGUGGAAAUCCUCAAAGGAGGAAUUCUGCUACCCAGUGGAAUGCCUCGCUCUUACUGUGGAAGAAGUGAUGCAUAUUCGCCAGGUCCUGGUGAAGGCAGAGCUGGAAAAAUACCAACAGUAUAAAGACAUCUACACCGCCUUGAAAAAAGGAAAGCUCUGCUUUUGUUGCCGAACCAGGAGGUUUUCCUUCUUCACUUGGUCUUAUACCUGUCAGUUCUGUAAGAGGCCGGUGUGCUCACAGUGUUGCAAAAAGAUGCGGCUGCCCUCCAAACCAUACUCCACUCUUCCUAUCUUUUCAUUGGGACCUUCUGCUCUGCAAAGAGGGGAAAGUAGUAUGAGGUCAGAAAAACCCUCCACUGCCCAUCAUCGGCCACUUCGGAGCAUUGCCAGGUUCUCCUCAAAAUCUAAGUCUAUGGACAAAUCAGAUGAAGAACUCCAGUUUCCCAAAGAGUUGAUGGAGGACUGGAGCACCAUGGAGGUGUGUGUGGACUGCAAGAAGUUCAUUUCGGAAAUCAUCAGUUCAAGCCGGCGCAGUCUGGUGUUGGCCAACAAAAGGGCCCGAUUGAAAAGGAAAACGCAGUCUUUCUACAUGUCCUCGCCAGGCCCCUCGGAGUACUGCCC